GCCUGCGUGGCUCAGUCGGUUGAGCGUCUGACUUCAGCUCAGGUCAUGAUCUCACGGUUCGUGGGUUUGAGCCCCGCGUCGGGCU
rnacentral:tRNA from 1 species